rnacentral:rRNA from 1 species
UUUUAUGGAGAGUUUGAUCCUGGCUCAGAGUGAACGCUGGCGGCGUGCCUAAUACAUGCAAGUCGAACGAUGAAGCUUCUAGCUUGCUAGAAUGCUGAUUAGUGGCGCACGGGUGAGUAACGCAUAGGUCAUGUGCCUCUUAGUUUGGGAUAGCCAUUGGAAACGAUGAUUAAUACCAGAUACUCCCUACGGGGGAAAGAUUUAUCGCUAAGAGAUCAGCCUAUGUCCUAUCAGCUUGUUGGUAAGGUAAUGGCUUACCAAGGCUAUGACGGGUAUCCGGCCUGAGAGGGUGAACGGACACACUGGAACUGAGACACGGUCCAGACUCCUACGGGAGGCAGCAGUAGGGAAUAUUGCUCAAUGGGGGAAACCCUGAAGCAGCAACGCCGCGUGGAGGAUGAAGGUUUUAGGAUUGUAAACUCCUUUUGUUAGAGAAGAUAAUGACGGUAUCUAACGAAUAAGCACCGGCUAACUCCGUGCCAGCAGCCGCGGUAAUACGGAGGGUGCAAGCGUUACUCGGAAUCACUGGGCGUAAAGAGCGCGUAGGCGGGAUAGUCAGUCAGGUGUGAAAUCCUAUGGCUUAACCAUAGAACUGCAUUUGAAACUACUAUUCUAGAGUGUGGGAGAGGUAGGUGGAAUUCUUGGUGUAGGGGUAAAAUCCGUAGAGAUCAAGAGGAAUACUCAUUGCGAAGGCGAACUGCUGGAACAUUACUGACGCUGAUUGCGCGAAAGCGUGGGGAGCAAACAGGAUUAGAUACCCUGGUAGUCCACGCCCUAAACGAUGGAUGCUAGUUGUUGGAGGGCUUAGUCUCUCCAGUAAUGCAGCUAACGCAUUAAGCAUCCCGCCUGGGGAGUACGGUCGCAAGAUUAAAACUCAAAGGAAUAGACGGGGACCCGCACAAGCGGUGGAGCAUGUGGUUUAAUUCGAAGAUACACGAAGAACCUUACCUAGGCUUGACAUUGAGAGAAUCCGCUAGAAAUAGUGGAAUGUCUAGCUUGCUAGACCUUGAAAACAGGUGCUGCACGGCUGUCGUCAGCUCGUGUCGUGAGAUGUUGGGUUAAGUCCCGCAACGAGCGCAACCCCCUUUCUUAGUUGCUAACAGGUCAUGCUGAGAACUCUAAGGAUACUGCCUCCGUAAGGAGGAGGAAGGUGGGGACGACGUCAAGUCAUCAUGGCCCUUACGCCUAGGGCUACACACGUGCUACAAUGGGGUGCACAAAGAGAAGCAAUACUGCGAAGUGGAGCCAAUCUUCAAAACGCCUCUCAGUUCGGAUUGUAGGCUGCAACUCGCCUGCAUGAAGCUGGAAUCGCUAGUAAUCGCAAAUCAGCCAUGUUGCGGUGAAUACGUUCCCGGGUCUUGUACUCACCGCCCGUCACACCAUGGGAGUUGUGUUUGCCUUAAGUCAGGAUGCUAAAUUGGCUACUGCCCACGGCACACACAGCGACUGGGGUGAAGUCGUAACAAGGUAACCGUAGGUGAACCUGCGGUUGGAUCACCUCCUUUCUA